AUCGCUGGUGGAGAUGUAGCUGUCCGGGGCGAGAGGGCGGCUCCAAGCCCCGCGUUAGCAGCGGGGAGGACCGGAGCUGUGGACGCGGAGGAUGGACCCGUCAGGAGCAUAAAUGGACUGCGCCGGCUGGGACGUCACGAUGCGUCGUCGCCACAAAGCUCAUGAACGCGCUCAUUUGGCUCCCAGCAUGCCGCACACCCGGAGGGACCGCCGCUUACAAGGAGGACCCCCUAAAAGCCCGCCCUGAAGCCCCCGAGGAGGAACGAGAGCAUCCAGAGGUUUCUGUCACACAUUCAUCGCUGCAGGCUUGAGGGGUUGUCUGUUAUCUUUGGUUAUCUAGCUGUAUGAGUGACGUACAUUCUUCAUAAAGCUAGAUAACCGAAAGUAACAAGAAUCCCAUUACACGCCUGCACAGGAAGAAGGAAAACGGCACGGAAAUUGAGCCCAGAGAGCAGCGGAUCGGGCUGGAGGUGGACGGCAGCUGCUGCUAACCAAUGAUGUGAAGGUUUCUGAUCCGGAGGAGUUUUACAACAAACUGCUCAACGAUUGAAGCUGAAGAAAAGAUCUCAAACAAAACAACCUGGUAGAAAUCAGCUCACAUCGUUUGGUUGGAUGCAGAAAACACAGACCGUUCGCCAUGUUGGAUACAUCAAACGAUACGAAGGACAGAGUGAUGAACUCUGGGAAGCUGCCCUGCACAGAUGCUCAGGAAACAUCUGGACUAGAUUUUAAUGUAGGUCAGAGCUCAGAUUAGCAUCUCUCUCACAAACAAAACAACAAUUCAGCUGAGAUGUUGGUCAUAUUUAUGCAUUUUUAUGUCAAAAAAAAAA